GAAUAUGCUUCCUAGAGGCAGCUGGAGUAUCUCAGUGUAUUGUGAGCCAGGCCUAGAGACAGGAGGUCCUAGGUUCAAAUCUGGCCUCAGACACUUCCCAGUUGUAUAACUCUGGGCAAGUCACUUAAGCCCCAUUGCCUAGCCCUUACCACUCUUCUGCCUUGGAACCAAUACAAAGUAUUGACUUCAAAACGGAAGAAUUUUGCAGGAAAGAUGCCACCUCUGAAGGAUCCAAAUUUCCCUUUCUCCAAUGCUGACACAUCUCUCAUUUCCUACCAUUUUCCAAAGAUCAUUGAUCAUCCAGCACCAAGUAAUAUGUCAGAGUGCAUUCCAGGCCCUGGGUGUCAUGAUUCCUGAGUACUGACCCACGCUUUGGUCUUUUGUAAAAGUGAG
rnacentral:lncRNA from 1 species